AUUGAACGCUGGCGGCAUGCCUUACACAUGCAAGUCGAACGGUAACACGUCUUCGGUUGCUGUCGAGUGGCGAACGGGUGAGUAAUACAUCCGAACGUGCCCGAUCCUGGUGAGAAUGGAAUCGCAACGUUUCCUAAUACCUCAUACGAUCUACGAUUUUAAGCAGGGGAGUUCAAUGCUUUGCGCCAACGGUGCGGCCGCUGCUAGAUGGAUCGGCGGCGGAUUAGAUAGUUUGUAAGGUAACGGCUUACCAAGGCGACGAUCUGUAGCAGAUCUGAGAGGAGGAUCGGCCACACUGGAACUGAGACACGGCCCAGACUCCUACGGGAGGCAGCAGUGGGGAAUUUUGGACAAUGGGCGAAAGCCUGAUCCAGCCAUGCCGCGUGAGGGAUGAAGGCCUUCGGGUUGUAAACUGCUUUUGUAAGGAACGAAAAGACUCGGGUUAAUACAUGGAGUCCAUGACGGUACCGUAAGAAUAAGCACCGGCUAACUACGUG
rnacentral:rRNA from 1 species